GGACCCAUAGCUCAGCUGGAUAGAGCGCUGCCCUCCGAAGGCAGAGGUCGCAGGUUCGAAUCCUGCUGGGUUCACCA
rnacentral:tRNA from 1 species